AUCAGUAUGGCCGAGAGGUCUAAGGCACUGGGUUCAGGUCACAGUCUUCCCUGGAGGCGUGGGUUCGAAUCCCACUUCUGACA